CGAGUCCGAGGAGCUAAGGCUCCAAAGUGAUGCGAGUCAGACUUCCCAGAAAAGCCCGAACCACGUUAAUUUCUAAUUACCUGUACCCGAAACCGACACAGGUGGGUAGGUAGAGUAUACUAAGGGGCGCGAGAUAACUCUCUCUAAGGAACUCGGCAAAAUGACUCCGUAACUUCGGGAGAAGGAGUGCCUUAUUUAUAAGGUUGCAAUAACAAGAUCCAAGCAACUGUUUAUCAAAAACACAGGUCUCCGCUAAGUCGUAAGACGAUGUAUGGGGGCUGACGCCUGCCCAGUGCCAGAAGGUUAAAGAAGUUGGUUAGUGUAUGCGAAGCUGAUGACUGAAGCCCUGGUGAACGGCGGCCGUAACUAUAACGGUCCUAAGGUAGCGAAAUUCCUUGUCGGGUAAGUUCCGACCCGCACGAAAGGCGUAAUGAUUUGGAUACUGUCUCGGAGAGAGGCUCGGUGAAAUAGACUUGUCUGUGAAGAUGCGGACUACCUGCACCAGGACAGAAAGACCCUAUGAAGCUUUACUGUAACUUGAAAUUGGAAUUGGACUUUGCUUGCGCAGUAUAGGUGGGAAGCGUUGAAGAUAUUCUUGCGGGAGUAUUGGAGCUAUCAGUGAGAUACCACUCUUGUAAUGUUAGAUUUCUAACUUUGAACCAUAAUCUGGUCAAAGAACAGUUUCAGGUGGGCAGUUUGACUGGGGCGGUCGCCUCCCAAAUGGUAACGGAGGCGUACAAAGGUUUCCUCUGAACGGAUAGAAAUCGUAUCUAGAGUGUAAAGGCAUAAGGAAGCUUGACUGUGAGACCUACAAGUCGAGCAGGGACGAAAGUCGGUCUUAGUGAUCUGACGGUACUGAGUGGAAAGGCCGUCACUCAACGGAUAAAAGUUACUCUAGGGAUAACAGGCUGAUCUCCCCCAAGAGUUCACAUCGACGGGGAGGUUUGGCACCUCGAUGUCGGCUCAUCGCAUCCUGGGGCGGUAGUACGUCCCAAGGGUUGGGCUGUUCGCCCAUGAAAGCGGUACGCGAGCUGGGUUCAGAACGUCGUGAGACAGUUCGGUCCAUAUCCGGUGUAGGCGUUAGAAUAUUGAGAGGAGCCUUCUUUAGUACGAGAGGACCGAGAAGGACACACCGCUGGUGUACCAGUUAUCGUGCCAACGGUAAACGCUGGGUAGCUAUGUGUGGAGUGGAUAACCGCUGAAAGCAUCUAAGUGGGAAGCCCACCUCAAGAUGAGUAUUCUCAC
rnacentral:rRNA from 1 species